CGAGGAGGGACGCAGGUGACGCGGAGCUCGUCCUCCCGCCGCGGGGCUGCCUGCCUCCGCCCGGUCGAACGGCAAACGAGGACACGGAGACUUUGAAUGUGUCUCCGCGCAGCCAGUCGACUGCACACACUUGACAGCACGACAGCCCGAUAAACGCCAUGCCCUCACUGCUCCAUCCAGCCACCGGGACCCCGGCCGGAUUAACCCGUUCCAGGGCCCCAGGGGGCCAAGAAAAAAAAAAGUGCUGUCUGGCGUCCCCCUGAAUCCACAACUCAUGCAGAGAGCAUAUAGAAACAAGAAAAGGUAAUUUUCUGAAGAAACUAGAAAAAGACAAUUUCUGGAGAAAUUGCGGAGUGAAUGCUGGCUGCUGGAUGAAGAAGCCGAAGCAGUAUGAAGAGGAGGAAAGUUUCUAGGUUGAACAUGUGAAAGGAGCAGCAGAGGGCCCCAAUGGAUGGAUUACUGAACAGAACAACUGGGCACAGGGUCCUCAAGGCCAAGGGGUCGGCAGGGAGACAGGAUCAGAGCACAUGUCUGUCCCCCAGGUUUUCUGUAAUUAAUGAAACACUGCUUUUUUUUCAUCACAACAGCACAAUGACAAACGUCUGCAGCAAUGGAAACCAAACAUUAAAGCAAAGUGACAGCUCUGCACCGCUUGCCUUUUCAAAUCACCACCAAUGACCUAUGACGUGACUUCAUAUUUGCUCUGCAAGGGCGGCUCAGCAGCGUUGUGUGUUGUUGCCACAGAGGCAGCUGGCGUCACUGUUACCACUGACCUCCCACGAGCUGAGGCCUCAGGGACCCCAGGAGUCAUGGAAGCCAGCAGCACCACCCAUGAGACGCAGGCCCUGUGUCUGAUGUAACAACCUGAAAUCAGCAGACUUUGUCACUGCAUCCCAUAUGUAGACUUCUUAAAAUAUGGCCUCGGAAAUCUUUGACUGACCUUUUGUUUGAACAUGAACCUCCCUUCAUUGUUUUUCUAGCUGGGCUCCAUAGAGAUGAUCAGUCUUCAGUCUCAUAUUAAUCUUUCACUCUAAUUGUCUCUUGCUCUCUUCCUGCCAACCUGUUUGAAAAGCCUCAAGAUUAGGAUUUCUGCAAAUAACUUAGUGUCAAAAGACACUGAAAUCAGAGAAGAGUACUUCAACGGUGACAAAGGACAAUUCUAAACAGAUUGAACCCGUCUUAUUGAAGCCGGAAUUUAAUCUUGAUGUUUGUGCAAAUCGUACAGCAGACCUUUUGAUGAAAUAAAAAGCUGUGAUGCUACAUGUAGCUCCAUG